GAUGAACGCUAGCUACAGGCUUAACACAUGCAAGUCGAGGGGAAACGACAUCGAAAGCUUGCUUUUGAUGGGCGUCGACCGGCGCACGGGUGAGUAACGCGUAUCCAACCUGCCCAUCACUUGGGGAUAACCUUGCGAAAGUAAGACUAAUACCCAAUGACGUCUCUAGAAGACAUCUGAAAGAGAUGAAAGAUUUAUCGGUGAUGGAUGGGGAUGCGUCUGAUUAGCUUGUUGGCGGGGUAACGGCCCACCAAGGCUACGAUCAGUAGGGGUUCUGAGAGGAAGGUCCCCCACAUUGGAACUGAGACACGGUCCAAACUCCUACGGGAGGCAGCAGUGAGGAAUAUUGGUCAAUGGGCGAGAGCCUGAACCAGCCAAGUAGCGUGCAGGAUGACGGCCCUAUGGGUUGUAAACUGCUUUUAUAAGGGAAUAAAGUGAGUCACGUGUGACUUUUUGCAUGUACCUUAUGAAUAAGGACCGGCUAAUUCCGUGCCAGCCGCCGCCGUAA
rnacentral:rRNA from 1 species